GAUGAACGCUGGCGGUAUGCUUAACACAUGCAAGUCGAACGGACUCUUCGGAGUUAGUGGCGGACGGGUGAGUAACGCGUGAGAAUCUGGCUUUGGGUUCGGGACAACCACUGGAAACGGUGGCUAAUACCGGAUGUGCCGAGAGGUAAAAGAGAAAUUGCCUGAAGAUGAGCUCGCGUCUGAUUAGCUAGUUGGUGAGGUAAAGGCUCACCAAGGCAGCGAUCAGUGGCUGGUCUGAGAGGAUGACCAGCCACACUGGGACUGAGACACGGCCCAGACUCCUACGGGAGGCAGCAGUGGGGAAUUUUCCGCAAUGGGCGAAAGCCUGACGGAGCAAUACCGCGUGAGGGAAGAAGGCUCUUGGGUUGUAAACCUCUUUUCUUAGGGAAGAACAAAAUGACGGUACCUAAGGAAUCAGCAUCGGCUAACUCCGUG
rnacentral:rRNA from 1 species